ensembl:lncRNA
AAAAAAAAAGAGAAAGAAAAAAAGAAAAAAAAGAAAAAGAAAAAGAAAAAGAAAAAGAAAAAGAAAAAGAAAAAGAAAAAGAAAAAGAAAAAGAAAAAGAAAAAGAAAAAGAAAAAGAAAAAGAAAAAGAAAAAGAAAAAGAAAAAGAAAAAGAAAAAGAAAAAGAAAAAAAGUGUAUUUUAUGUCUCUCUUUCUUUAUCUCCAAAGGAUUUACUCGAGGUCCAUGUAAGUUUCAAUUAAUGCGGGUUAGAGUUUAAUGAGGUCCUUAUUGCUGCCUACUGCAAAACAAAGCAAUACAAAACAAAACAGGAAAAAGUCUCAUCGAUGUCAACAGAAGUAAAGCGUUUUUGCUUUAGGUUGAUGAUCUAACACCACCAGAGAAAGGCCCUUUACCUGACAUAUGGUUUACUUAUUUGGGAUAUCAGGAAAUACCUUAAGGUGGACAUCUACAAGCUGAGGCACCUGCAGUCAGUGCCUCCAUUUGAGAUCUAGGUAAGCAGAGUGCAGCAAGAGGUUGAGAGUAUUGGACCACUCCUUCUUUAUCCAGGUUAUUCCCCUCACCUCACCAGUUUGCAGUUCUCUUACUUUCUUCAGCCUUUCCUUCUUCAUUUUUUCUUCACAAUUCUCCCAGUACUUUGGACUAAGUAUAGUCCAAAAGAAUAUCACAGAAAUUUACAUAGCACCAAAAAUCUAUGCUGCUUUCAUCACCUUGAUAAGCAUGGUACGUCAGGGAUGAACCCGCCAGGGGCAGCUUAAUUAACAGGGAAGUAUGGGAUGGUGUGACUGAUGAGAUGCUUUCAGAAUGGGAUUUUGCUUCAGGUUUUACUUUUGUUUUAUGAAACAUGAAUUAAAGAUACAUCACUUGCACUAAUGUCUGGAAAGUCAAACCACGAGGUGUUUUUUUUUUUUUUUUUUUGGUUAAUUUUUAAAAUUGAGCUUAUUGACCCCUAUAGUUUAACCUUCCCUAUGUAAGGAAUACCAACCAAGAAUUUGGCUGGUGUCAUCAGAAGUGUCUACUUUUGUCAUCUGCUUUUCUUUCUCGGCUUUGGAGAAUGGAUCAUCUUACCAAAAUGUGAACUGUUAUGAAUUUGUGUUUAUGAGUUGUACAUUAGCCUGUCUCAAGGUAAAAGCCCUGAAAGGAUUUAAGAGUUCCUAAACAGGUUCUUGCUGAUUAGAUCACAACGCAUCUGAAAGGAUCGUGAUACGCCUAUUAUAAAUUAUUUAGUUUCAGAGGAAUUAUUAUAGUUAGCAGGUAAAUAUGCACCAGUGCCCCAGGGAGAAAAUGAAAUGAGACUAUGAAAAGUGUAUAACCUUGGAGGUCUGGGUAAAAUUCAAAAAUACCAAGAAAAGAAGGCUGAAAAUUUGGUCUGACACAAUCUUCAUGUUGCCUUAUGCUUCUUCUACAUGCCAAAGUUGCCAAAGUGUGUGUGAUUUAACCUGGUGCAAUGUAAGUGCUGCCUUUAAUUUGGG